UAAAACUAAGUAUACAUUUUAAAAUUUUUGAAAAUGUUAAAUUAAUGAUAUUGGAAGCGUUUGUUCAAAAGGUAGAUCAGUUGGUACAGUUGCAACAACACCAUGUUGAACUAAAAAAAAAAAAUCGAAACAAUUUAGUAUUAACGUAUGAACAUUUACGAACAAAAAAAUUUUUUACUCCCUUUAAGGAAAACGACAAAAUUUCAGACCUACACAUAUUCGACUUAAUCGAGUUUAUAAACAAAAGUUUACAUACAAACGUUAAUAACAAAAGUAAACUUGUAUAUUUAAACGAAACUGUUAAUAGCACAAAUAUAUGUUCUGAACAUGUCGAAGAAAAAAAUAUGAAAACUGUUUUAAAUGAAAAAGAAAAAAAUAAAAAAGCAAAUGAUAAACAUGUAAACAAUUCAGUUGAUGUGGUUAGCCAAACAAAUUCACCUGAACAUGUGAAUAAUGUAUUUGAAAAAAAAAAAAAAAAACAUAACUCAGCCAAAUGGUUGAAAGAGGGCCAAAAAAACGAAUAUAAGAAUGACCCGUAUAAAAGUGGCCCGUAUAAAAGUGGUCCAUAUAAAAGAAGUACUUAUCGACUUGGAAAAUGUGAGGGUCAUAAAGAUGUAGCAAGAACGGAUGAAAUUUGUAAAGAUGAAAUUAAAUUUUUUUCUUAUAACAAAAAAGUAAAUACGUUAAAUGUAUAUAAGGAAAUUUAUGAAAAAUCUGCUGAAUAUAAGAAUACACGUUUUUAUCAACAAAUGAAAGAUGUGAAUGGACAUGUGAAUGAAUGUACGACUGUUAGUACAUCGCAUAAUUCUAAUCAUACUGUGGAGGAUUCAAAAAAUGUGAAAACUGACAUUUUACAAAAUGACACUCUUCAUGGUAGUGUUACAAAUGACAGCUCAAGUGGUAGUGCAAAUAAAAUGACACCAAAAUGUAGCCACAAUAACCGUCAUACAUUAAAAGAAUCCAUUGUUAAUGUUUUUUUAUCAAUUUGUACAUUUAAUUAUGAUAAUAAGUAUUAUAAACACAUGAAAUUAAUUUAUUAUUCUAAUUUUUAUUUUUACAAUCCUUUGCUUUUAUAUCAAUAUUUUCAAUUCAUUCCAC
rnacentral:lncRNA from 1 species